rnacentral:rRNA from 1 species
GACGAACGCUGGCGGCGUGCUUAACACAUGCAAGUCGUACGGUAAGGCCCUUUCGGGGGUACACGAGUGGCGAACGGGUGAGUAACACGUGAGUAACCUGCCCACAACUUUGGGAUAACGCUAGGAAACUGGUGCUAAUACUGGAUAUGUGCUCCUGCUGCAUGGUGGGGGUUGGAAAGCUCCGGCGGUUGUGGAUGGACUCGCGGCCUAUCAGCUUGUUGGUGGGGUAGUGGCCUACCAAGGCGGCGACGGGUAGCCGGCCUGAGAGGGUGACCGGCCACAUUGGGACUGAGAUACGGCCCAGACGCCUACGGGAGGCAGCAGUGGGGAAUAUUGCACAAUGGGCGCAAGCCUGAUGCAGCAACGCCGCGUGCGGGAUGACGGCCUUCGGGUUGUAAACCGCUUUCAGCAGGGACGAAGCUUUUUGUGACGGUACCUGCAGAAGAAGCACCGGCUAACUACGUG